rnacentral:rRNA from 1 species
AGUGAACGCUGGCGGUAGGCCUAACACAUGCAAGUCGAACGGCAGCACAGUGAGAGCUUGCUCUUACGGGUGGCGAGUGGCGGACGGGUGAGGAAUACAUCGGAAUCUACUUUUUCGUGGGGGAUAACGUAGGGAAAGUUACGCUAAUACCGCAUACGAUCUACGGGGGAGAGCAGUGGAGCGUCGGGGCUUGCGCGAGUGAAUGAGCCGAUGUCGGAUUAGCUAGUUGGCGGGGUAAAGGCCCACCAAGGCGACGAUCCGUAGCUGGUCUGAGAGGAUGAUCGGCCACAGUGGAACUGAGACACGGUCCAGACUCCUGCGGGAGGCAGCAGUGGGGAAUAUUGGACAAUGGGCGCAAGCCUGACCCAGCCAUCCCGCGUGGGUGAAGAAGGCCUUCGGGUUGUAAAGCCCUUUUGUUGGGAAAGAAAAGCAGCCGGUUGAUACCCAGCUGUUCUGACGGUACCCAAAGAAUAAGCACCGGCUAACUACGUG